CUGCUGGCCCUCCGGCCCUGCGCCUCCUUCUCAGCCCGGGCCCACAUCUUCACCUGCUGGGCCCGUCGCUUCUGGGCGUGCUUGAGCCGCUCCUGUGUGCUCAUCCUGCUCACCAUGGGCAUCUCUGCCAGCAGUUCCAGCCACAGUCCAGGAACAGCCCCCUGGAGCUGAAGACUCACCCCUGACUGAGCCACAGAGGCCAGCACAGCUCGGCAGAGCUCCGGCAACUGACCACCUCACCACACCCAGGCUGAGGGGGGCUGAGCAGGGCAGCUACAGCCUCAGUCCACAAAUCCUGCCCCAAGCCUCCCUGGAAUGUCAAACAGAGAUAAUCUGCAUGAUUUUUCCAGUUCUCAGCUCCACGCCUGGGGUGUGGGACAAGGCGGGAGGAGCUUUCUGGAAGGACCACGAAGACUGCCCCCCUCCUCUGAGCCAGCACCAGGGGAAGGCCUGAGUCUGUUGGGAGUGGCCCUGGGCCCUCAGGAUGGACAGACCCACCCCCAGCCUGAGUGCCUCAGGGGCCCCUCCAUACCUACAGCCACCCUGCUCCAGUGUCUCCACCCUCUACCUGGGAAACUGAGGCCAGGCCUGAACCCUGGUGCUCUGCUGAGACUCCCCCAGGCUGCCUCACAGCUAUGCCCAGCAUCUGUGUAAGAAUCAAGGUCACAGCAAGAGCCCAGCGCCAGGGCGCUGGGACCUGGGGCGGGCCGUGGGGGUGGGGUGGGGGGCCUGACCUUCGGGGAGGGGCAUGACCUGCAGGGGGCGUGACCUGCAGGGAGGGAGAAGGUAUGGAGGGAGGGUGCCCACCUUCCCACAGGUUCUGGGGCUUCACAUCCUGACUGCUUGGGCUGGUCCCUGUGGCUUUAUCUACAAGAGCGAAUGGUGGGGCAGGCGUGCUCCUCGCUCUGGGAAGGGUGAGGCGUGCGGCACCACCUGCAGUCACACAGAAACGCGCCCUCAGCAGGGCAGGUCAUGGGGCCAGGACUCAGGAAGCCGUGGGGCCAGGGCUCCAUGGCCAAAACCCUGAGCCAGAUCUGACCCCGCCUGGUCGCAGGCGGGGACUGGGAGGCAGGACUCCCCUGACCCCACCCUGGCUCUGGCCUCCUGGCUCCAACUCAGCUCACCUGGGACGCCGCCAAUCCCUGCCUCACGGCCAGCUGCCGAGGGCACGAGUCUGUCGGGGGCACCGCUUGUCCCCGCCUGCUGCGCGCCCCCCGGGUCUGUCCCCGGGGCUAAGCCGGAACCUGGAGGGAGGCCUCGAGUCAGUGCCGCUCAGGGAAGGGGCCGAGGCCCCAAGGCAGGGCCCGACUACUAACCCUUGUCUGGCCACGCAGCUCUGGGGGGCCCUGGGUGGGGUGAGGGGCAUGGGCCUCUGUGCAGGCACAGGCUGGGCUCCACGAGGAGGACAGCGUGGUGCCCGGGCUCUGUGCUGGCCCCAUGACGGGUCCACCUGGCAGGCCCGGGGGGUGCAGGUGGCACCAGCCGUGGGGGGACAGACAGCGGAGCCGAGAGCGGCUGAAGGCAGGGGCUGGGCCGAGCGGCUGGACGGCGGUGGGCAGGGGCGCCCACACUGGCGUGGCAAGCAUGGAAGGCCUGCUCGCCUUCCGUGAUCUGGGGGUGCUGCCAAGGGCGCCAUCAUCACAACAUGCGUGCAAGGCAGCCCCCAGCAGGCCUGCUCUGGAAGGUUCCAGAGGCUAGACCCACAGCACGCAUGUCAGGCCUGCCACCGCCACAGCUCUCAAGCCCUCCUCGUCUACCUCAGGGUCAUGACAUGAGGCCCUGAGGGGUGUAUGAGGGAGCUACCUAUACACUACCAUGAAAAGGUCACCAAGAAACAGUGUUCAGUGAAGAACCAGGGACUCACAAUCUGUACGUGAGACAGAGCUUCACUGUGAACACGCCUGUAAACCUGAAUCAGCCACAGGCCUCGGGGGGCUGCAGGGACGGGGCCACUCCUGCUGUUUGGCUUUUGAGCUGCGUGAGGGCAGGUCUCCUCUAAACAAUGUUAAGUGCUUUGUCUGGGGAGGGCAGGUGUGAGCACGGCUGUCAGGUAUCCGGUUAGCCUGGGGGGCGGGGCGGGGACGGAACAGGCCCAACAGGCUGUGGGAGCCACAGAGGCUUCCAGAUGCAUGAGAGCCGGCAGGAGACACACGGGGACCCGGAAGCCCGCCUGCCGGGGACGGGUGCAGGGGGAGUGCCCCGGGGGGAGGGCCAGCAAGGGGCAGACGGAGGAAGGAGGCCCCCAAGAACUGGGACGGGGAGCAUCCAAGGUGAGCAGGGCCACAGACGCCCCUGAAAGAGGGUCCGGAAGGGAGGAGUCUGUGGAGGCACAGACGGGGGAGCUGCGCAGGGCUGGGGAGGGGUCUGCAGGAGGCAUGGGGGCAGCAUGCACCGCAGACACAGCCAUGCGGAGGGACAACUGCAGGAGGCCUGGACCAUCCGCGUGACUCCAGUAAGGGGUGGGCCUUUCCAGCCUGACACAAAACCCAGAAACCAAAAGGGAAAU